rnacentral:rRNA from 1 species
GAUGAACGCUGGCGGCGUGCCUAAUACAUGCAAGUCGAGCGAACAGAUGAGGAGCUUGCUCCUUUGACGUUAGCGGCGGACGGGUGAGUAACACGUGGGUAACCUAUCUAUAAGACUGGGAUAACUCCGGGAAACCGGGGCUAAUGCCGGAUAACAUGUUGAACCGCAUGGUUCUACAGUGAAAGGCGGCUUUGCUGUCACUUAUAGAUGGACCCGCGCUGCAUUAGCUAGUUGGUGAGGUAACGGCUCACCAAGGCAACGAUACGUAGCCGACCUGAGAGGGUGAUCGGCCACACUGGAACUGAGACACGGUCCAGACUCCUACGGGAGGCAGCAGUAGGGAAUCUUCCGCAAUGGGCGAAAGCCUGACGGAGCAACGCCGCGUGAGUGAUGAAGGUCUUCGGAUCGUAAAACUCUGUUAUUAGGGAAGAACAAAUGCGUAAGUAACUGUGCGCAUCUUGACGGUACCUAAUCAGAAAGCCACGGCUAACUACGUG